CAGAGACCUCCACACCUCGUCCAGCAGGAACACAAGUGGGGCCAAAGCCCCGCCGAGGCGUGCCACAAAGGAGGUGUACCCCAUCCCAUUCUGCCUGGAAAGAAUACAUAAAAAAGUCAAGCACGGAAAAGUGAACCCUGCCCAUAAGGAAGAAGAGAGUGCUUAUUCACAAAGGCUUUUGGCAACUGAUUGAGGACACUGUAACAACACUUGGCAAAUACUACAGCGACCAAGAAGGCAAACACUAAGUUGGACUAGUUCCUUGUGCAACUGCACAGUCUCCUGUCUGCUAUGGGAGUGAUGCCUCUGCCUUAUUUUCUCAGGCUGCGCUUCUCUCUCACUGUGUAUUUAGUCCAGUGGCCAGUCCACUGAGGCCUCUUGUCAUGGCAAUAAUGAGUGGAAAGACACUCCACCUAAUGAAAGAGAUUUCUGGUCUUAUGGGAUCUGGGCUGCUGUUUUAUCUUUAGGAGUGAAUGUAGCUGCUUUCUAGAAUAAAAAAGGAGCAUGGCACCCUGUGGACCACAGUGCCCCACAGAACACACUGCAGACUGAGCAUUGAUUCAGAUAUCAAAUGGAAGUAAAAUAUAUAGAGAGAAAGUGGGAAAGGAAGAACAUGUGUCUGGAUCUUCAGUUUCUUACCUCUGGUGAGAGAGCAAAAUCUUUCCUUCUGUUCAUUCUUGCACAUCUAAGCAGAUGUCUGUGAGCUUGCUUCACUUUGCCUUUGGCUAUGAGCCACCGGGCAGACUCUGGGACCCACCUGAUGCAAGGAGAGAAGACAGUGUUCCUUCAUGUUUUCCACCCCACAUUCAUGGCCCUGGCAUCUUUAUGAGACUGCAACCUCAGCUGAAAAUAGCAACUAUGGUGCAUGAGAAUAAGAGUAAUGGGACACCCUUUUUACACCUAUAUGCUCUUCUACCCCUAAAGGAGUGCAGUCUGCUAAUUGAUGUAUGGCUAGCCAAAAUUUUAAUCAUGUGAUCUUUGAGCAAAGCUUGAAUUUUCUGAGCUGGUUGAAGUUCCAAACUUUUAUCAAUUAAAAUUGGCCCCAGAGAGUUUACAUAUUUGUGCUUUUUGUGACUUUUUAAACUUUGAAAUUGUGAGAUAUUAAAAAUUACAAUGAAUUAGUAAGCUCUAUACUUACUUUGUUAGUUAAUUAAAUUAUUUGUUUUUCACAAUAAUCAAAGCCUCCUGCACAAGACAGUCAACUGAGUCUAAAUCAUUGAGGUUGCAGCCCUCAAUGACGUGCCCAUGCCAGUCACUGAGUGACCAGGGAUGCUGUACUGUAUAGAGCUAAUUAGCUCACAGGAGUCCUGUGAUUCUUAUUUUUCUGUUCCAGCAAAAGAUCCAGCACUUGUCUUAAACUAGCAUCUGCAACUCCCUCUCCUUGGACUUCUCUCUAAUCUUGCAUCUGCCUGCAAUUCAUGGCUUCAAGCCCCAGAGCUUCCCAGGCCACAGUGCAGCCCAUGUGGCCUAGGGGGUACAUGGUGUUUUGUGGGUGCCCAUAGCAGUCAGGGUCCAGCAGACGUGAAAUAGCCCAAAGUGUCCAAGUCCUGCUAGAGCCAACACCUACCUCCUAUCACCCAAAUCUGUACCUGGAAAGAAAUAAAAACCAGAAACUGCCAUUCUCAUGGAGACUUUCAGCUGAGCAUUCUGUGCAGCCAGUGGGAAGAUUUACAACCCUGAAGAACUGUGGGUUUGAGGUCUACUGAGGUCACACAGUUGUCAGUCUCUCAUUGGAGUCUCCCACUAGAAUGUCUGAGACCAGAUCCCUGUAAGCUGUUCGUGAUUCAUGUGACCUAAAUCAGAUUACGACAAAACUAGUGAACAACCUUGGGAAAUAUAAAGAAGGAAAGAUGGCAUUUUGUGCUCAUUGCCACUGUCUCUAGGGUGUAAUAUUAUGUCUUUUGGUUGUCUAAUGUCUCCACUGGGUUCUGACAUUGUGUCAAUAGUAUCUACAGAGUGCUAAAUUAGAUUUUAAUUCUAUAUUUCAGGGAGUUUUAAUUAUCUGCCAGUCACUGGCCUUUUGGGUGUUUCGAGUUUGAUCAGACUAUAGUAUAGUUUGUUGGAGAACUAAUCUCUGUAAAAGAUACAGUAAGAGAAAAAAACCAAACAGCUGUCAUGGAAAGGGUGGGUCCAAAUGUAUCUGUGAAUUUCAGCACUUCCAAGGACUCAGGUUUUUUUGGCUGGUUGUCCUAGAAAGCAAGCAAAACAGCUCAAACUAAAAAAGUCAGCAGAACACAUAUUUUAGUUGUGUUGGACUUGAUCAGUGAAAGAUCAAAUGUUACUCUUUGCCAGAAAGCCAGUACAUCUUUCUUUAGCCAUUGAAUAACAACAGCAUCAGUUUAUAUUCCAUUUUUAGUAAGGAUUAUUUGAGAUUUUUGUACUAGAUCUGUGCAGCUAUUUAAUCUAGUGCUUCAUGCUGAUGGACAGAUGCAGUAAGCAAGCAAACCAUAGUCUUCAGAAGCAUCCUUGAUAGCAGCUGAAAGGCACUUCAGGAUUUGGAUAUCACUCUUUUUGUUCAGUGAUUAUCCACAUAAUUUUUGGACCCAUGUGUCUAAAAUCAGAACUUAUUCUGCAUGGUUUCCAGCGAGAGCUUCCCAUCCCCCUGAGGGACACAUCUGUGACUUCUGCAGUGUGAUCCAGCACUGUGCCGUUGUCCAAAAGGAACUAAACAACCACCCUAAGGUGAAGGAGACUCACCUCCUCGUUACUGAAUGCUUUCAGUAGGGCAGUUGUGGGAAUACCUGCUUGCUUAUUUGA